rnacentral:rRNA from 1 species
GUGUGAAGAAGGCUUUCGGGUUGUAAAGCACUUUCAGCGAGGAAGAAAGCCUCUGGGUUAAUACCCCAGAGGAAGGACAUCACUCGCAGAAGAAGCACCGGCUAACUCCGUGCCAGCAGCCGCGGUAAUACGGAGGGUGCGAGCGUUAAUCGGAAUUACUGGGCGUAAAGCGCGCGUAGGUGGCUUGGCACGCCGGUUGUGAAAGCCCCGGGCUCAACCUGGGAACGGCAUCCGGAACGGCCAGGCUAGAGUGCAGGAGAGGAAGGUAGAAUUCCCGGUGUAGCGGUGAAAUGCGUAGAGAUCGGGAGGAAUACCAGUGGCGAAGGCGGCCUUCUGGCCUGACACUGACACUGAGGUGCGAAAGCGUGGGUAGCAAACAGGAUUAGAUACCCUGGUAGUCCACGCCGUAAACGAUGUCGACUAGCCGUUGGGACCUUUAAGGACUUAGUGGCGCAGUUAACGCGAUAAGUCGACCGCCUGGGGAGUACGGCCGCAAGGUUAAAACUCAAAUGAAUUGACGGGGGCCCGCACAAGCGGUGGAGCAUGUGGUUUAAUUCGAUGCAACGCGAAGAACCUUACCUACCCUUGACAUCCAGAGAACUUUCCAGAGAUGGAUUGGUGCCUUCGGGAACUCUGAGACAGGUGCUGCAUGGCUGUCGUCAGCUCGUGUUGUGAAAUGUUGGGUUAAGUCCCGUAACGA